GACAGAGGGUGCAAACGUUGUUCGGAAUUACUGGGCGUAAAGCGCGUGUAGGCUGCUUUGCCAGUCGGGCGUGAAAUCCCACGGCUCAACCGUGGAAGUGCACUCGAAACUGCAGAGCUAGAGUCCUGGAGAGGAAGGUGGAAUGCUUGGUGUAGAGGUGAAAUUCGUAGAUAUCAAGCGGAACACCGGUGGCGAAGGCGGCCUUCUGGACAGUGACUGACGCUGAGACGCGAAAGCGUGGGGAGCAAACAGG
rnacentral:rRNA from 1 species